AUGACAAGGACUUUGAUACAGUUGAAACCUGUUAAUUUUAAUGAAGAUCCACCAAAAUGCCUGAAGUCAGAGGUAACUAAGCAUGAGCCCAAGAGCUACAGCACUGAGGAACAGCAAGAACCGGCAAUCAGCAACUACAGACAAUUCUGUACAUCUGUACUUUACAUCCAACAGGUCUCAAAACAACAUCUCAAAACUAAACACACCAAAACACCAUCAACCACUGCAGGAUAUCUCAAAUAGGCCUACACACUGCCAGUCUAUAUAUAAUAUGGUGCUGAAUGAUUAUUAAAUAAACGUUAGGAAAUUUAUAUGGCGCUUAAAUGUUUUUCAAAUGAUAACAUGUUAUACAAUAAAUAAAUAUAUAAAACACACCCUUCAAUAUAUCAAUAAUCAAAAUAACAUCCUUGAAAAAAGGUAGUGUUACAGUACCGUGGUACAGUGAUGCUCUCAGGUGGUCAUAUAAAGCAUAGUUCAGAGCAUCCCAUGGUGAAUGUCCAUAAAAUUGGUAAAAGCAUGAUUUCCCAAAGCAGGGUUUGUUUUGUUCUAAAUGUGUGUUCAAAAUAAAAUAACUGCACACAAAAGACCCAAUUGUCAAGUAAGGCAAUUUAUUUUUUUUUCUCCAAAGCUGUACAUUUGCAUCCAGCAUUUACUUCAACAGCGUUUGCAAUGCCUCUGAAGCCUGAAAUUCAUUUGACGCUGAUGAAGCUCAUGACAGUAAUGAUGGAAUGCCCUCUGGUGGUGGCUUAGCAUUUUGAGAGUGUUUUCUAAUCGUGUUACUUCAAACACACCUACAGAAUGAAUAAUCUCCUGAGAAACGGAGUUUCUGUUUUCUGUUUACUGAUAACACGGCUCGAUGUGCAACCAAAUGUAAUGUACAGGAGCGAGCAAUCUGUUUAAAACACCAGCAUAGUGAGUGCUGGCAUUACACAGAUAAAACCACUUAAUCUGUACAGAGGCAGAGUGAGCGGGAAAGACAUAAAGAGAUAUGGCAUGUUUGUUUUUCCAUGCUCAUUUUACUAUCAUGUCAAAUAUGUCUGCAGGUGUUGUUUUACACAGAACUACCUGGUUUGUCAAUGCAAAGUGCAUAAAUCACUUAUGUCUGUCUUUCAGACAUAAUUGAAAUGAAAUAUGAAUCCCUGGCUUUUUCUUUAAUUAAAUGUCAGCUCAGUAAAAAAAAAAUGGACAGUAAUCCAUUUAAGACUCCAGAUCACCAGCUGUGAUUCUUCCGAUGAUCAUUAUCGCAGAACAUAUUCACUGGAAUACAAGGCCUGGAGCCUACGGCCUCCAUUAAGGCACUAUAAAGCAAUUUUAUUAUGGUCAAACUUACCUGAGUAAUAUUUCAUACAGAUGGCAGAAUUACUUGAUAUUACUAGUCAGAGGCAUGUACUAGCAGAGAAAAAGACUGCCCUUUUAAUCAGCUAAAACAGUGGCUCUCUACCAGGGUAGAUAGCAUACUUCAAAGGGGCCUUUUUCCUUUUUCUUAUUUUAAAUAAUUGUAAAAUAAGCAAAAACAGUUUUUUUUUGUAUGCAAACAGGCAUG
rnacentral:lncRNA from 1 species